rnacentral:rRNA from 1 species
UACAGAGGUGCCAAGCGUUAGGCGGAAUCACUGGGCUUAAAGCGCGUGUAGGUGGGUCGUUAAGUGUCCGCGUGAAAUCCCACGGCUCAACCGUGGAACUGCCGGGCAUACUGGCGAUCUUGAGGCAUUCAGGGGCGAGCGGAACAAAUGGUGGAGCGGUGAAAUGCGUAGAUAUCAUUUGGAACGCCAAUGGUGAAAACAGCUCGCUGGGAAUGAUCUGACACUGAGACGCGAAAGCCAGGGGAGCGAACGGGAUUAGAUACCCCGGUAGUCCUGGCCCUAAACGAUGUCCACUAGAUCGUGGCACCUCUGACGGUGUCAUGGUCGGAGCAAAAGUGUUAAGUGGACCGCCUGGGAAGUACGGUCGCAAGGCUAAA